rnacentral:lncRNA from 1 species
AAUCUCCAAAAGCAUAAGAGACAGUGACUGAUUUUUAGUACCAUGCAGUGUGAUCUAAUCUAACAAUAUUUUCAUGCUUACAAUACUAUACAGUAGAUCUAACUGUUCCUUUCCCAAAACAUAUGAACAGUGUACAGUCAAAAACAUUCAUAAAAAUGACCCAAGCUGCCCAGGGGGGUGUGAGGGGGGGUGUGGAGGAAAAAAAAAAAAAACCCUCUUCUUCUAGAAAGAACUCUGAGAUACAGUAUUUAGGCAGGGAAAAAAAAAAAAAAAAAAGAAACCCCACAAAAAAAUAAAACCCCAUAAAAAACCCCCCAAAACAGACCAAAAAAAACCCCAUCCCAAAGAAAACCAAAAUAGAGGUCCACAAAACCUGAAGCAAGUUUUCAGUCCUCUAAACUAACUGUACUCCUUUCCGCAAUUUCCUAACCAAAAUCUUCUAAACAGUAGGUGUCAGAUUCUCAACUGACUUCUUGGUCAGAAAGCUGUUAUCAUGUCAUAUCAUAUCAUAAGGCUUAAGACAUUACAGCGCAAUACCUACAGGGGGCCUACAAGAAAUCUGAAGAGAGACUUUUUACAAGGGCAUGUAGUGACAGAACAAGGGGCAAUGGCUUUAAAAUGACAGAAGGUAGAUUUAGAUUAGAUACUAGGAAGAAAUUCUGUACUGUGCGGGUGGUGAGACACUGGCACAGGUUCCUCAGAGAGGCUGUGGCUGCCCCAUGCCUGAAAGUGUUCAAGGCCAGGUUGGAUGGGGCUUGGAGUAACCUGGUCUAGUGGGAGGUGUCCCUGACCAGGACAGGGAGGGUUGGAAAUGGAUGAUCUUUAAGGUCCCUUUCAACCCAAUCCAUUCUAUGAUUCUAUGUUCCAGUAAACAAUAUUGCUCUGUAAUAACAGCAUAUUAGCAAAACCUUCAUUCAGACUGAAGAUACGGUAUCCAAGGGUUGAAAAGGUCAUAGAAUACAAUAUUAUCAGAUGUUCAGAAUAUUCCAUUUUAAAUAGAGAAUGAGAGCAUGAUAUUAUCUAAUACUUUACAAUACGUAAAACCAGGGGCAAGCAAGCAAUAAAAGAUAGCAAAUUCAAUCUAAGGUAAAAUACUAUCAGC